GGGCUGGUAGCUCAGUUUGGCAGAGCGACGGACUCUUAAUCCGUCGGUCGCGUGUUCGAAUCGCGUCCAGCCCG
rnacentral:tRNA from 1 species